UGGGGAAUAUUGCACAAUGGGCGCAAGCCUGAUGCAGCCAUGCCGCGUGUAUGAAGAAGGCCUUCGGGUUGUAAAGUACUUUCAGCGGGGAGGAAGGGAGUAAAGUUAAUACCUUUUCUCAUUGACGUUACCCGCAGAAGAAGCACCGGCUAACUCCGUGCCAGCAGCCGCGGUAAUACGGAGGGUGCAAGCGUUAAUCGGAAUUACUGGGCGUAAAGCGCACGCAGGCGGUUUGUUAAGUCAGAUGUGAAAUCCCCGGGCUCAACCUGGGAACUGCAUCUGAUACUGGCAAGCUGGAGUCUCGUAGAGGGGGGUAGAAUGCCAGGUGUAGCGGUGAAAUGCGUAGAGAUCUGGAGGAAUACCGGUGGCGAAGGCGGCCCCCUGGACGAAGACUGACGCUCAGGUGCGAAAGCGUGGGGAGCAAACAGG
rnacentral:rRNA from 1 species